rfam:Lingula anatina scaffold898, whole genome shotgun sequence.
AACACAUUCCUUAGAUCCACUCCGGGGGCUAGUUCUCUGCCAGGGCUUGCAGAGACAUGCCCAGCAACUUUCUGGGUUGUACUGUCUGGAGUGCUUGAGUCAUUAGUGUGUGAGAGCAGUAUACCUCCACUGGUGGUCAGUCGCGCUCUUGUCUGCCCAUGUAGUGUGUUGGACGUAUGGCGCACACUCUGAAGGCAUUACGUGGCAAGAGUUGACUGCUAGUGGGGACAUG